AUUGAACGCUGGCGGCAGGCCUAACACAUGCAAGUCGAGCGGAGCGGCGGACGGGUGAGUAAUGCCUAGGAAUCUGACUGGCAGUGGGGGAUAACUGCCGGAAACGGGCGCUAAUACCGCAUACUAUCAGACGAGCUUAGGUGGGAUUAGCUAGUUGGUGGGGUAAAGGCCUACCAAGGCGACGAUCCGUAACUGGUCCGAGAGGAUGCACAGUCACACUGGAACUGAGACACGGUCCAGACUCCUACGGGAGGCAGCAGUGGGGAAUAUUGGACAAUGGGCGAAAGCCUGAUCCAGCCAUGCCGCGUGUGUGAAGAAGGUCUUCGGAUUGUAAAGCACUUUAAGUUGGGAGGCGUUACCAACAGAAUAAGCACCGGCUAACUUCGUGCCAGCCGCCGCGGUAAUUC
rnacentral:rRNA from 1 species